rnacentral:rRNA from 1 species
GGUUGAUCCUGCCAGGAGUUAUAUGCUUGUCCCAAAGAUUAAGCCAUGCAUGUGCAAGUAUAAGCGAGUUGUACGGUGAGACUGCGAAUGGCUCAUUAGAACAGUUAUAAUUUACUUGACGGUCAGGGGUACUUGGAUAACCGUGGUAAUUCUCCGGCUAAUACAUGCGGCCCUUCGGGGUGUAUUUGUCAGGGACGGACCGAGGCAGGGGAGACUCUGCGGGUGAGACAUGACAACUGGGCGGAUCGCACGGCGCGAGCUGGCGACGCGUCAUUCAAAUUUCUGGCCCAUC